GUACACACGGAUAACAUACCGAAAGGUAUGCUAAUACGGGAUAAUAUAUUUGAGAGGCAUCUCUUGAAUAUCAAAGGUGAGCCAGUACAGGAUGGACCCGCGUCUGAUUAGCUAGUUGGUAAGGUAAAGGCUUACCAAGGCGACGAUCAGUAGCCGACCUGAGAGGGUGAUCGGCCACAUUGGAACUGAGACACGGUCCAAACUCCUACGGGAGGCAGCAGUGGGGAAUAUUGCACAAUGGGCGAAAGCCUGAUG
rnacentral:rRNA from 1 species